UUUCCGUAGGUGAACCUGCGGAAGGAUCAUUACCGAGUUGUCAAACGGGUUGUUGCUGGUCUUCAAACGGGGACAUGUGCACGCUCUGUUUACACAUCCACUCACACCUGUGCACCCUCCGUAGUUCUAUGGUCUGGGGGACCCUGUCUUCCUGCCGUGGUUCUACGUCUUUACACACACUCUGUAAUAAAGUCUUAUGGAAUGUAUGCCGCGUCUAACGCAAUACAAUACAACUUUCAGCAACGGAUCUCUUGGCUCUC
rnacentral:misc_RNA from 1 species